AUGAAAUAUUUCAAAGUUCAAAACAUUUUUAUGUGCCAUGUCAAUAACCAGGCCAAAGUACAUGUUUCUAAGCGAUUUUAUAAGCCACACAUUCCUUCUCAGCCCAAGGACAAUAACACCGCUAGCAAGAAAACAGGGUCUCUCUCCAGACAUUGUGCGGUAUUUGGCCUUUUUCUCGUACUUUGCCCUGCAGCUGGCACAACUCUUCCUCAGCUGUUUUGCAGACCGGGCACCCUCAGGCAAAGCUGUCCUCAAGGUACGAACGGAGCAAACUCUUCAUCAGCUAAAAUAAUCCAUCACAAACAAUCCUGUGGUGAAUUUCUGUUGUUUACUAGUGUCCUUAUGUAAUAUAGAACCCAACCCCACCAUUUUGAAGUGAAUUAUGGUAACGGUGGUAGGAUACGCAACUACUAUCUCCCGCAAGUAUGCAGCACUUAGAUAUUAGCUAUUGGAUAAAAGAGAUGUUUUUCCGGCAGUCAGCUUGACUCAUCAACAUGGACACUCUGUGGUCCCCCUUCCCAGAUAAUGAUAUAUCCUUUUUUAAACUAAAUUCUUGACUCAUUCUGCCCACUGUUUGGUUGUUAUGUAUGCAAAUUACACACAGAGCAAAGCAACACACAACGUAAUCUCCAGACAUCUCGUGAGAUAGUGGUCCAUCUGACUGUUCUCCUCCAGAGAAAAACAGGGAAACAAGCUCAGAGAGGAAUUAGUGUGUUUGUGAUGAGGUUCUAGCCACAGACAUCGGUGCCACACCCCUUGAUCCCCUCCUGGCUCAGUCACUUCCUGUGUAGGGUUAUUCACAGCAUCCUGAAGAGUGAGACCUCCAGUGAGGAGGCGGGCAUCUAUCUACAGUAUCUAUCUAUCUAUAUCUAUCUGUCUAUCUAUCUAUCUAUCUAUCUAUCUAUCUUUUAUUUAUUUUAUUUUAUUUUAUUUUAUUUUAUUUUAUUUUAUUUUAUUUUAUUUUAUACUAUGCUUUGAUCAAUGCAAUCACAUUUCCAUCUGAAAGAUUCCCACAAAAGAGACAGACCUAAAAUGAGUCAAAAGGAGCCGAGACAGGAGGAUUGUGUCAAU
rnacentral:lncRNA from 1 species